UACGAAGGGUGCAAACGUUGCUCGGAAUUAUUGGGCGUAAAGCGCACGUAGGCGGCUUAGCAAGUCGGAAGUGAAAUCCCUCGGCUCAACCAAGGAAGUGCUUUCGAAACUGCUGAGCUUGAGUACUUAAGAGGAUCGCGGAAUUCCUAGUGUAGGGGUGAAAUCCGUAGAUAUUAGGAGGAACACCAGUGGCGAAGGCGGCCAUCUGGGCCAUUACUGACGCUAAUGCACGAAAGCGU
rnacentral:rRNA from 1 species